GUGAAAGAGAACCUGAAACCCUGUGUUUACAAGCAGAGAAAGCACGUUAAAAGUGCGAUCUCGUACUUUUUGUAGAACGGACCGGCGAGUUACGUUGUGUAGCAAGGUUAAGGACUGAAGGUCUGAAGCCGCAGCGAGAGCGAGUCUGAAUAGGGCGACAUAAGUUGCAUGACGUAGACCCGAAACUGGGUGACCUACCCAUGAGCAAGGUGAAGUGGUGGUAAAACACCAUGGAGGCCUGAACGCACGUCCAUUGAAAAGGGCGGCGAUGACUUGUGGGUAGCGGAGAAAUUCCAAUCGAACUCAGAAAUAGCUGGUUCUCCUCGAAAUAGCUUUAGGGCUAGCCUCGAUUCAAAGAUUGGCGGAGGUAGAGCACUGAAUGAGCUAGGGGGCCACAAAGCUUACCGAACUCUAUCAAACUUCGAAUGCCGCACAAUCGUUCAUCGGGAGUCAGACGGCGGGAGAUAAGUUUCGUCGUCAAAAGGGAAACAGCCCAGAUCAACAGCUAAGGUCCCCAAGUACGUGUUAAGUGGGAAAGGAUGUGCAACCGCAUAGACAACCAGGAUGUUGGCUUAGAAGCAGCCACUCAUUAAAAGAGUGCGUAAUAGCUCACUGGUCGAGUAGUUGUGCGCCGAAGAUGUAACGGGGCUAAAACACGUCACCGAAGCUUUGGAAUUGCCGCAAGGCAAUUGGUAGAGGAGCAUUGUGUGCUGGGAGAAGCAGUACCGAGAGGAGCUGUGGACGGCACAGAAGAGAGAAUGCCGGUAUAAGUAGCGCGAGGCAUGCGAGAAACAUGCCCGUCGAUAGCCUAAGGUUUCCUGGGGAAGGCUCGUCCGCCCAGGGUAAGUCGGGACCUAAGCCGAGGACGGAAGUCGUAGGCGAUGGACAGCAGGCAGAGAUUCCUGCACUACCGAAGAUCGUUUGAGUGAAGCAGUGACACAGAAGGAUAGCCUGAGCAGGGUAAUGGUCAUCCCUGUACAAGCGGUGAGGCUGGUGAGUAGUGAAGUACGCUCACUAAGGCUGGGCCGUGAUGUGGAGUGAAAUUAGAAGUAGCGAAGCAGGUGAUUUCACACUGGCGAGAAAAGCUGCUGGCGAGAUCGGAGGUACCCGUACCGCAAACCGACACAGGUAGGCAAGGAGAGAAUCCUAAGACGAACGGGAGAACACUUGUUAAGGAACUCGGCAAAAUGACCCCGUAACUUCGGGAGAAGGGGUGCUGCAGAGAUGCAGCCGCAGAGAAGAGUCCCAAGCGACUGUUUAGCAAAAACACAGGUAUCUGCGAAAGCGAGAGCUGACGUAUAGGUGCUGACACCUGCCCGGUGCUGGAAGGUUAAGGGGAACUGUUAGAGCAAUCGAAGCAGAGAACCGAAGCCCCAGUAAACGGCGGCCGUAACUAUAACGGUCCUAAGGUAGCGAAAUUCCUUGUCGGGUAAGUUCCGACCCGCACGAAUGGUGUAACGAUCUGGGCACUGUCUCAACUACCCACCCGGCGAAAUUGUAGUACCGGUGAAGAUGCCGGUUACCUGCGGCAAGACGGAAAGACCCCAUGGAGCUUUACUGUAGCCUGAUAUUGGGUUUCGGAAAUCUAUGUACAGGAUAGGCGGGAGACUUGGAAACAUGAGCGUCAGCUUGUGUGGAGUCGAUGUUGGGAUACCGCCCUUAGGUUUCUGGAAUUCUAACCUGCGGCCGUGAAUCCGGUCGGGGGACAUUGUCAGGUGGGCAGUUUGACUGGGGCGGUCGCCUCCGAAAAGGUAACGGAGGCGCUCAAAGGUUAGCUCAGCACGGACGGAAACCGUGCCUCUGAGUGUAAACGCAAAAGCUAGCCUAACUGCGAGGGUGACGGCCCGAGCAGUAACGAAAGUUGGAGUUAGUGAUCCGGCGGUAUGUGAAUGGAAAUGC
rnacentral:rRNA from 1 species